rnacentral:rRNA from 1 species
AUGGCGCUUCUCAAGGAUCCCAGAGCUCUCUUCCUGGCGGCCAUUGUUGUUACCGCCAUGGCCAUGCCAUCAUGCUAUGCUGCACAAGGUGCAGAGGAGUGCACCCGGAUCCUGCCGUGCACAGACAGUGCGUGCUACAUCCACUGCCAGAAGCUGGGGUACAAGGACCCCAAGACGCGCUGUGAGCGUAGCCCUCCCACUAAAGGCCAGUUCUACGAUACGUGCUGCUGUCUAAAACCGUAG